GGCAGGCAGGGGUCAGGUCAGACCCUGGCAAGGAUUUGAAUUUCUUCCAAGGGCAACUGGAGCCCUUGAGAAGCUGAGGAUGUGUUUAUAAGAAGAUAGUGGCUCCUGUGUGGAGAAGAGAUUGAAGGAAUGGAAAUGUCAAAGUAGAAAGACAAUCUAAACUGAGAGCCAGGGAUGAAGGCAGAGGAGGAACUGAAACCAAACCUUCAGAGGAAUUUCUGACCGUUAUAUCAGCUAGCACAGACCCCUGGUUUUGCCACUUCUCAGAGAUUCCACAGUGCGGUACCCGCUCUGGUAGUUGCAUGAUGGAUGUGGCCUGAGAGGCUUCCCUGAGGAGGUGAGCUGACUGAGGGAAGGGACAAAGUUCCCAACAACAAAACAGUAAGCAUCUGACGGAGAACGGUGAAUUCACAGCCGGAAACGACAGCCCAGGAUGCUCAUGGCCUGGUGGAAGGGCCUUGAAAUCCAAGAACCUGCCCCCCGAGUCGGGAGGAUGAAAGAGAUUUCAACCAACAAGCAAACAGGCUCUUCUCCACACGUUUCAUGGGAUCGAACGCCUGCUCAUAGAGGUGGGUCUACCAGCAGAAGACAACUUAAAGCGUUUGUGAGAAAUGACUUCCUUUUUAAUGCUGGUCCUUUGUGGAAGCCAAUGGUGGAAGCAUCAGUCCAGAGGGCUCUCCUGGAAGCCAGUCCUCCAUCCUAGUCUCUGCUCUUGGCUGUACUGAAACCAUCCUUUUUCUAUGUUCUGUGUUUUCUAGAAGCUCCACAUACUUUACCACAAUGUUCCUUGUCAUGGCAGCACGGAAGAGAUGGAAAAAGGCAAGAGGGGAAUAUGCGAUAGCAGAUGUGAAAAUCAGGUGUUUCUAAGUCACUGAUACCUGUAAAGUAAUUGCAUUUGUGAUACCAGAACAGGUACUUCCAAAUAUGCAUAGAGUUCUCGCCUCAGCAGUGUGGAUACUAAAAUUGGAAAGAUAAAGAGAAGGUUGUCAUGGCCUCUGCACAGGAUGACACACAAAUUCAAGAAGCAUCCCACUUUUUUGUUCUUCAUGCACUGAACUGUACGCGUAAAAAUUGUUAAAACAGCAAACUUUAUGUUAUGUAUAUUUUACCGCAGUUAAAAAUAUGCACAGAAAUGGAUCUAGAAACAUACAUACAAACUGUUCACAUUGGCCAAUUCUUGGGAAGAAGGGUGACUUUCAGGGUUUUUUCCCUUCAAUUUUAAACCUUUUUUUGGAAAUUAUUUUAAACAUAGAAAAGUUGCAUGAGUAAAAGUAUUGCCAAUAAUACCUCUAUACUGUUUACCCAGAUUCAACUACUCUUAACACUUUAUCCAUUUGCUUCAUCAUUCCCUCGUUUUCUCUUUCUCUCUCUGCAAUCUAUGGGGAGACACUUAAAGUCCUUACAAAUAUCUUUCUCCUCAUCAAGAUUUCCUUCUGGAUUCAGCAUCCGUGGAUGAUUUCUGUUGAACUGAUCUUUACUAUGAUGGUUGCAAAAUGGGUAUUUUCCAAUGCUAGCACCCCUCCCCAUAUACCAUUUGGCACUGAGUGUUCUGCUUUAAGCAGGAACCCUCUGUAAUCCCCUCAGUUUUUUAUAUAUUUGUCACAGGCAAGGGCUCAUGAAUACCUAUUUUUUUCAAUGAUUUAUAAUUCACUAAUGUAUUUGAUUAUUUUGCUGAUCAAAUUGUCCCAGAUUUGGCUAGUGGAGUCCCUACAAGCUGGCUACUGUGUCCCUGUGAUGUGUGACCCACCUCUGCCCAUCAUGUUGAGCACUUAAUAUCUGGCAUAAAAAGAUUUUCCAGGCUUUUCUUGUACCUAUCUGCCCUGGCCCUGAAGUCAGCCAUUUCUAUGAAGAGCCUUGGUUCUUUUUAAUGGGGAAAGGCAUUAGAAACCAAGAUGUGGGUGUGAGCUAUGCUCAUUGCUUGUGGGGAGUCUUUGCUUCUUGUAUCUUUCAGUUGAGUGAAUAGAAAAUCAACAGAUAUUUAUAUGUAUACAUAUAUACACUUACAUACAAAUAUACCUAGACAUAUAUGUAUAUGCAUAGAUAAAUCAUAAACAUGUGAACAUAUACGUACUUUAGAAAUCACGAAUUCACAGAAAUAAUUUUAAUUUCCAUCCGUUCCCACAGGGAUUUUUUUCUUGCAUUCUCCUCUAUUCCAUAUUUGCACUUUUUUUUUUUUCAGUGAGGACCUUGGAUUCCUCAAACAAUACAUUCACUUAUUUGCUCAAUUGCAUAAUACAUCGAAAAUAGUUUCAGAAUUGCUUCAUCCUUGUCUCUACGCAAAACAAACCCACUGAAAAGAGUUCAGGAUUGGUUUGUAAUUUCCUCCAUGCCCAUCAGUCCGCCACAAACUGAGGGUAGAUAGUCAAAUGCCGAAUAUUAAUACCUUGCUCAGAUUCGUUCUUUCUGUUUCUAUUUCCCUCCUGUGUGGUUAUACUACCCAUUUGAAAUCUAAUUAAGCUGAUUGGUUUCAAUUUGCUCUCAUUUUACUUUCCACACCCCAUUUUUACUAACUUAAUUGAUUUUUGAGUAUAUAGAAGGUUAUCAUAUUUUCCAAAGAAAAGCUGAACAGAAAGGUAUAUUUGUGCCACUCCUUCCCAAAUCUCGCCUACCACAGUCUCCUUAUAGGUCACCAGCUUCAUGGUUUAUCCUUCUUGUGUUUCUUUUUGUACAGGUAAACAGUCACAGAUUUUCUUAUUUUUCCUGCUACUAUAUAUGCUUUUUUAAAAAACAGCUUUAUUGAGCAUAAUUUACGUGGUAUAAAAUUCACCCAUUUUAAGUGGGCAGCUAGACAAGUUUUAGUGAAUUUAUACAUUUGUGCAACCAUCACCACAAUCCUGUUUUAGAACACCACCAUCCUCCCAGGAGCUGCCCUCACGCCCAUUUGCAGACAACCCCCACUCCCAUCUCAGCCCCAAGCCACCACCCAUCUGUGUUCUGUUUCUAUUGUUUUAUUCUUUCUAUAAAUUUCAUAUCAAUGGAGUUACACAGUAUGUGGUCUUAUGUGUCUGGUUUCUUACUAGCCUCAUGCUUUUGAGGUUCAUUUGUGUUGUUGAUGGUGUCCACAGUACUCACCUUUUCGUUGGUGCGUUGUAUGGAUGUACCACAAUUCGUUUCUCGAUUGACCAGAUGAUGGAUGUUGGGAGUGUUUCCAGCUUUUUGUUUAUUGUGAAUAAUGCUGCUAUGAACAUCGGUGUGCAGGUUUUUGACAGACACGUGUUUUCAUUUCUCUUGGGUAGUUACCUUGGAGUGAAAUUGCUGUGUCAUAUGGUAAGUGUAUGUUUAACUUAUGAAACUGGCAAAUGGUUUUCCAAAGUGCCUGUAUCAUUUUACGUUCCCAUCAGCGAUGUAUUUAUAUUAAUUGUAAGCAAAUGUAUUCUCCUAAAGUUGCUGAAAGUUCUUAUCUAAGCUAGGCCAGUUAUUUAUUGUCCUUGUAAUCUUGCUCAUUUUUUACUUACUCAGCCCUUUUCUUCAUGGGUAGUUCAAAGGAAAAUCAGAUUAUUCCUUGCUGAAUUAUAAGGAAUUCAGAAUGAAUGUGACCAAAAAUAAAGACCCAGAAAGGUAUUUUCUCUCUCUUUAUAGGGAAUGGAAAGAUAUAGAUGACGUUAUUAAGAGAAGGACUUUCUAGCUUCAGUCUUUAAAAAUAAAGAUCAGUUGCAUCAGAAACCUGAGUUUACAUUCUUUCCGAUGGUAGGGCAGGGAAUGAGGUUAGUUUAUGGAAGGAAGUACUCCCCCCCCCCAUUUUUUUUCUGGUGAGGAAGAUUGGCCCUGAGCUAAUAUCUGUGCCAAUCUUCCUCUAUGUUGUAUAUGGGACACCACCACAGCAUGGCUUGAUGAGUGGUGUGUAGGUUCACACCCAGGAUCUGAACCUGCAAACCCCAGGCCACUUAACCACUACUCCACUGGACUGGCACCAGGAAGUACCUCUUUUAAUUGAUGGAUACUUGGGAAAUUGACUAAAGUUAGGGUAUGGUCAUUAACUUCAAAUUUUGAGACAUCAGAAAAGAAUUCAGAAAUCUAAAGAUUCUAAAAAGGAGAAAACUUGAUAUAGUUCCCAAGUUGUUAUUUUUAAAUAUUUUGAAAGGAGAGCUGUGAUGGUUGCAAAGAGGCAGUCCUAGAAAUGAGAGCGGCAGCUGUUCAGUUGGGCACUUCCACUGAACGUAGGAUAAAUGCCAGAUCUUCUUGCUACACCCUAAAUACACCUGGACAAAACCACAGCUCCUGGAGAACCAAAGCACACUUCAUGGCAGCCCUCGUCUAGGGUCAUCCACAGACCACACUGGGGAUGCUGCCAGCUUCAAGUUACACCCCAAGAAAAUCAGUAUCAGUUGACAGACUAGCCAGCUCAUUGCUAAAUUAACUUCAGCUAAAUUUUUAAAUAACCAAAGGUUGUCUUUAAAAAAAUCUCUCCACAUCUCUUCUCAAAGGUUUUCUCCCUGCUUCUGAUAUUCAUCUUUUUUGCCCCAUCCCAAGCGCCUGGCACAUAUAUCAUUUUGUUGAGCCUGAAUUUAGCCAAAACAGAUAUUAACCAGUAAAACUCUUGUUCAUAAAAGGUUCAUUUGAAAUUGUUAAACAUGCAUCCCGUGCUCCCUGGAAGUGAGGGACUAUUUGGGCAGUAAAGGGGUUUUCCUGGCACCCAUCGAAAUGCAUCCUAUAGGUGAGGGGUUGCUGUUUCACAGGCCCUACCCUUAUGAGGUACAUUUGUACAUGAACUACUGGUUCCAGUGUUUUUAAUUUUUAAUUUUUUUCUUUUGAGGAAGAUUAGCCCUGUGCUAACAUCUGCUGACAAUCCUCCUCUUUUUUGCUGAGGAAGACUGGCC